rnacentral:lncRNA from 1 species
UUCAGAGUUGUUCUGAGGCUGUAUCUCGAAUUCAGUUACACCAACAAGUUUGCCUUCCUCAAUCGUGACAUGCACUGUAAUGCAAACAAUCUGAGUAUGAAUGAUCAUUCAUUAAUAUCUUGAUGAUCUUGUUUUAUGAUCAAGAUAGGAAAAACCUCCGAUCAAUCUCAAAAUCGUGCAUAUUUAACUAUAAGCUAUCGAAAAACAGAACAAUGCGCAUGCAGAUCAAUUUAAAUAUGAAACAAUUUUUGUGUUCAGUAUCUCAUUCUCAGCGACACUACUAAUUGAUGCAAGUCGAAAUGCCAAAUAGAUAAAAGUCUGUAUAAAUAGCUAAUAAACAUCGUAAAAACAACUAGGUUCCAAAUGAUUCUUGAAGUAAAAAAAAAAGAAAUCCAUUCAAUAUCAAUUCUUGUUCUAACAUGAAACUCAAUAUUCCAAAACAAAAAGAGGGAAAUGGGAUUUCGCCAUCUCGGGUUCUUGUUCCUGUUUCUUAGAAGCUCAUAUGGAUUAUACUUGAGUUGUUAAUGAGUUCUAAUACAUAUAUUCUUGAUUAUUAAUUUCUUUGAUAAUGAUUUAUCAAAAAGGAAUUAUGGUUUAAUUUCCAAACAACCAAAUAAGAUUACUAAAAGAGAAAACAAUUAACAUGAACAUUAAUUUAAUAUCACUUAAUGGAGAAUUAUUAAUUAAGAAGAAUGGGAUUUUUCUGAAACAAACCUGGAUGAGAGUAGAACCAAAAAAUGAAGACACAGAUGAUCAAAAUCAGAGGAAUAAGAUGAAUCCAUUUCUCAGAAAACAAUGGUCUCUUCUUUCUUUGAGAAGAUGGAGGAGGAGGAAGAACAAGUGGUGGCAUGUUGAUACGGUAUUCAUCAGAAACACGAGACGAACUCGCCAAUCUUUGCAUCUUAAUUGAUUUAUCAAGAGAAAGUAAAAGUAAUCAAUCAAUAAGGUAGAACAAUGAAGAAGAAGAAGAAGAAGAAGAAGGAAAGAUGUAAUCAAAGAGAAAAGAGAGUGAUUUGAGUUCAAAGUGCAAAGAAAAGGAGUUAUUUAUAACAGAGA